UACGAAGGGGGCUAGCGUUGCUCGGAAUCACUGGGCGUAAAGGGUGCGUAGGCGGGUCUUUAAGUCAGGGGUGAAAUCCUGGAGCUCAACUCCAGAACUGCCUUUGAUACUGAAGAUCUUGAGUUCGGGAGAGGUGAGUGGAACUGCGAGUGUAGAGGUGAAAUUCGUAGAUAUUCGCAAGAACACCGGUGGCGAAGGCGGCCCAACUGGUCCGG
rnacentral:rRNA from 1 species